rnacentral:rRNA from 1 species
UACGUAGGGGGCAAGCGUUGUCCGGAAUCAUUGGGCGUAAAGAGCGUGUAGGCGGCCCGAUAAGUCCGCCGUGAAAGUCCAGGGUUCAACCCUGGAAUGCCGGUGGAAACUGUCGGGCUGGAGUCCGGAAGAGGCGAGUGGAAUUCCUGGUGUAGCGGUGAAAUGCGCAGAUAUCAGGAGGAACACCAAUGGCGAAGGCAGCUCGCUGGGACGGUACUGACGCUGAGACGCGAAAGCGUGGGGAGCAAACAGG